rnacentral:rRNA from 1 species
GUAAUUCAUCAAAAGCCUAAGAAAACAUUGAAAGAAAUCACCAACGAUUUGUGCCCUGUCCUUAGCAUACAACAGCUAUAUCGAAUCAGUACAAUGUAUUGGGAUGACAAAUAUGGCACCCACACUGUUUCAUCAGAGGUCAUCUCAAGUAUGAGAAUAAUGAUGACAGAAGACUCGAACAAUGCAGUGAGCAGUUCUUUCUUGUUGGAUGAUGAUUCAAGCAUUCCAUUUUCGGUGGAUGACAUCUCAAAGUCAACGACAGAAAUCGAGGUAACGGACGUUGAUAUGCCACCUUUGAUCCAGGAGAAUUCUGGUUUUACCUUCCUACACCAAAGAAAGGACUAAGCGGGUAGUCCUUCCGCUCACGACUUCCACAUUCCUUUCCCCACUCGAUCUGUGCACAAAUCAUGUAUAUACUCGUGGCUUUUCUUUCUAUCAAAUCAAAUCUAGUCUGGUCAGGUUAUUUGGUAGAUCUGUUUUAUAUUUUUUGUUAGGUCCUGGGUUUGAUUGAUUGGUUAUUUAUUCAGUUUGGC